rnacentral:rRNA from 1 species
AUGAGUAUCAGGAUUAGGGGAUGCAGAGCCGUGGGACACAUGGUACAACAUAGGGUAGUGCUCCCCCUCCCAGCUGUAGUGCGGGGCGAAACAUGGUGCGAGCAAGAUGCACUGUUGUCGCACUCUCUCUAUUCUUCAUCCCACGCUCUCAUUCUCAUCUUACUGAUGACAUCGGUGACAUACAGAGUUGAGGAAUAUCUUGAUCAAUAUAAAAUCUGGAUGCUCAUGCUGGACUUGAUGCGAAAAGCACUGACCGCCCACUGCGUGCCUUAUCUCAUCGCCGACGCCACUCCUCUCCUUCUUUUAUCCAGAUCGCCAAUUCCUCCGCUCAUCCUAAUCCAGCGCUGGUCCUCUUCUUCUUCUCUCACCAUCCAAUCUAGCCAAGAGCCGCACUCAUCGGCCCCGUGCUCCGGAUCAGGCCAGAAGCCUCGCCUACGACCUGAUUCAGACUGCCUAGCCUUCGCCACCUGCGCCGUGCCCCAGAGGUUCGGCCGAUCCCGCGUCGCUCAUUCUCGCUUCUUCCACUGCUCGCGGCUCGCGUUGACUGCGAGAGGCCACAUGCCUCGUCCAACCACAUCCUCUCACUGCCUUGCUCCUCCACCACCACUCCUCUCCCUUCUUCCUCCCCUCCCUGCCAGCCAGGGCACUCUCCCUCUCCCGCCUCCGUUCGCCGCAGGUGAGUGCAUGGCUACGGGUGUCUGGCCAGCAGCAACAGCUGCGGCAGUUCCGCGCCCGGAGAAGCCGCGCGCUGGGCGAUGUGGAGGAGGACGACAUGCUGCUUCCUCAUUCGGGCGUCCUCCUCUGCGCCGUCGAGAGACGGCCAUGGCCGCCCGAUGCCCGAGCGCCGCCGGCCAAGGAUCCGCCGGCGUCCAGACCCCCUCCACGCCAUCCCCAUCUCGCCGGAGACCUACACCAAGUCACAUCCAGCGCUCGCACCACCCUUCGGGCCCUGCCCCGCAGCUCUGCAGCCCGAGCGCUUCGGCCGCCUCGCACCCGAAGCAGAGGAGAGGAGCUCCCUACCACGAGCCUCUCCAGCCCCGGCAAACCAGCAGGCCGACCCCGCCUCCUUCUCACUUCCCUCCUCCUUCCUUUUUUUCCGCCGGGACGCAUCACCCCUUCCUUGGCUUCUGCGGAGUGGAAGCCGGCGGCAAGCUGCGGCCCGUGCCCGGCGGUGGAGAAGGCAAACGGGGUAGAAUUGUAACUAAUGCAGGGGCGUUUAUAUUCAUUGGAGAGCUGGAGAGUAUUAAAGAACGCAAACCGGUUGGGAUAUCAAGGACAGGAGGGGAUAUGCAACGUAGAACUCGUCUGAGAGCUCCUCCGGCGAACCAUGCAAAGCUUCAUGUGGAUGCGGCCGUGAGACCAGGGCAAGGUGGUUCGGCAGCAGUUGUGUGCAGGGAUGCCGAGGGGAACUACCUGGGUAGCACAGCCCUGGUGGUGCAAGGAGUGGAUGACCCAAUGAUUUUGGAGUCGAUAGCCUGCAGGGAGGCACUUUGUGCAGCUGAGGAUCUUCUGUUGCAGAGUUUUGUGGUCGCGUCACAUGCAAAACAGGUGGUCAGAGACAUUGCUGGAGGGAAAACAAUGGAUUCCGAUGCAUCGUCGGACGAGGAGUAUGGCCCGACGGAGCUUGACCAAAUGAUUCAAGAUAAGUUCUUCGAUUCGUCGGAUUCGAACAAAGAAGUGAACAUGAUCAUGCUCAUGAGCAUGCAAGAGGAAAUAGACUGGCAAGUCGAGCAUAUUCUCAACUUCAAGGGCUCAAUCAAAGGGAGAAGAGUGAUCAACCAGGACAGAGUGUCCGGAGCAAAGCUACUGCACAAUGACUACUUUGCUCCCACACCUGCUUUUCCGAAUGAUCCAUGUUGCUUCCAUAAGAAGAAAAAGAUCUCGAGUCGAGAGGACUUGACAGCACGUACCAGCAUGCACUCACAAGCCGAUCGAGCUAACCAUCGAUCGAACAGCCUCAUGAUCAAGACUUGGAUUGACAGCCAGCUUUUGAGUUUGCUUUACUCAAGGAACAUGGAGAAUAACCAAAGACCAGCCAAAGCUCGGGCACGCAGGACCAACCCAUGCAUGCAUGCAUGCAUCUCGAGCAAAAAAUCCAAUCAAGUUUGCUUUAAACAUGACCAAAUCAGACCAAACAGGGUUUUGAUUAGCUGGUAA